ACUCCUACGGGAGGCAGCAGUGGGAAUAUUGGACAAUGGGCGAAAGCUUGAUCCAGCAAUGCCGCGUGAGUGAUGAAGGCCUUAGGGUUGUAAAGCUCUUUUACCAGGGAUGAUAAUGACAGUACCUGGAGAAUAAGCUCCGGCUAACUCCGUGCCAGCAGCCGCGGUAAUACGGAGGGAGCUAGCGUUGUUCGGAAUUACUGGGCGUAAAGCGCGCGUA
rnacentral:rRNA from 1 species